rnacentral:tRNA from 1 species
GGUAAGGUAGCUCAGUGGUAGAGCGCUUGCCUCGCAUGCAUGAGGUCCUGGGUUCGAUUCCUCAGCACCA